GGUUGCGUGGUGUAGUUGGUUAUCACAUCUGUCUCACAUGACAGGUCACAGGAGGUCCCCGGUUCGAACCCGGGCGCAAUCA